CCCUCAAGGUGACAUUCCAGGAAAUAGUGCGAUACGUAGAUGGGAGAGGUCUGGCUGUCAAUCAGAAAUACCUCGGAUACAAACGGCAGGAUGUCACGAGCAUCGUGUCAUACGCUUCCACAAUACUUGGCACUAUGCUCCUGAACCUCAAACGACUGCACAUGGAGUAUGAUGACCUUGGGCGUACUGUUGGUAUAAACACGGGGCACAUUGAAACUGCGGACUUCGACCUUGAAGAAGAAGACAUCAUCUUUUUGUUGGAUCAAGGAAGAAACACAACAAUUGAUUAUCUUAAAAUGUAUUCAGCGAAGAUUAACAAGAAAUGAGCUAGGAGGUUCCUAUCUGGCAAAAGAUGUAUAAAUUAAAUAGAAUGAUAUCAAGUAUUACAUAUCACGGGGAACGUAUAGGUAUUACUAACGCCAUACCGUUUCAGUACAAGACAAAUCAGACUUAUUAGCAAUAAUUAUUUUAAGUUGGAAAGACUUUUUAGGUGAUGUUUAUCAAACUAUGCAACAAGCUUACUGGUAGCUUAGCUACUGAGGUCGAAAACAAAAAAAGCUCGUCAAAAAUAACACAGAAUAUCACAGAACGUUAUUAAACGUAUGUUUCGUGUUACAGAUACGCAUAUGUUUAUUUUUUAGAUCAUUUAUAACUUUAAGGGGUUCUUGAGAUUUUGUAACGAUAGUACUGCAAUAGUGCAUACUUGAUCCAGGAAACAGGGAGAUAGGUAAAAUAGGGACCAGGAUAUCUUUUACAGUCACCAUGAAUUCAAAAUCAUGGUGCUUUAUGGGUAUCUUUGUGUUCUGUUUAACGUCCUGCAUACAUAAUAAAGUGAUUUCUUACUUAGAACUAAAUUAUGAAGCAUGUUCUGUUACAGACUUUCGAUAAUAAGGUAACCACUUAUUGUGUACUUAUAUAUCAUGAUAGUGUACCAAUUGACUUUGUUUCACAUGUUUAAUACUAUUUUCAUGUUCGAAAGUUUCCCUACAGCAAAGUGUUUUUCGGAGCUGCCACGAUUGGGAGUGCUGGGUCUAACCACUUAUGCAUACAUUUAACCAUGUAUAAAUAUUUAUCUCUAAAGCUGUCCCUUAUGAUAUGCAAGCAUGUAGUCAACGCUUCCCGAAUUCAACACACAAGGUUGUAUAGUUGUGUAACAAUAUAUUUCAACAUAUUAAGAAGCUAUCAUUUUCGACAUGAUCAUCUCGUCUCCUUCAUGUUCUACGUCUAUAUCAAUAUUGUAUUACGUACUUUCUUUGAACAAUUGGCAUAUGAGCUAAUUUUACUAGAACACUGUCCAUACGAAUAAGCAAUGCACUGUCACGCUAAAUCUGAGUAAUAAUUGCC